GAUGAACGCUGGCGGCGUGCCUAAUACAUGCAAGUCGAGCGAACGGACGAGAAGCUUGCUUCUCUGAUGUUAGCGGCGGACGGGUGAGUAACACGUGGAUAACCUACCUAUAAGACUGGGAUAACUCCGGGAAACCGGAGCUAAUACCGGAUGAUAUUUUGAACCGCAUGGUUCAAAAGUGAAAGACGGUCUUGCUGUCACUUAUAGAUGGAUCCGCGCUGCAUUAGCUAGUUGGUAAGGUAACGGCUUACCAAGGCAACGAUGCAUAGCCGACCUGAGAGGGUGAUCGGCCACACUGGAACUGAGACACGGUCCAGACUCCUACGGGAGGCAGCAGUAGGGAAUCUUCCGCCAUGGGCGCAAGCCUGACGGAGCACCGCCGCGUGAGUGAUGAAGGUCUUCGGAUCGUAAAACUCUGUUAUUAGGGAAGAACAUAUGUGUAAGUAACUGUGCACAUCUUGACGGUACCUAAUCAGAAAGCCACGGCUAACUACGUG
rnacentral:rRNA from 1 species